rnacentral:rRNA from 1 species
UACAGAGGGUGCAAGCGUUAAUCGGAAUUACUGGGCGUAAAGCGUGCGUAGUCGGUUAUUUAAGUCGGGCGUGAAAGCCCCGGGCUCAACCUGGGAAUUGCGUUCGAUACUGGAUAGCUAGAGUUCGGUAGGGGAGACUGGAAUUCCUGGUGUAGCGGUGAAAUGCGCAGAUAUCAGGAGGAACACCGGUGGCGAAGGCGGGUCUCUGGGCCGAUACUGACGCUGAGGAGCGAAAGCGUGGGGAGCGAACAGG